UACAUAGGGGGCAAGCGUUGUUCGGAAUUACUGGGCGUAAAGGGCGCGUAGGCGGCCCUCUAAGUCAGACGUGAAAUCCCUCGGCUCAACCGGGGAACUGCGUCUGAGACUGGAAGGCUUGAAUUCGGGAGAGGGAUGUGGAAUUCCAGGUGUAGCGGUGAAAUGCGUAGAUAUCUGGAGGAACACCGGUGGCGAAGGCGGCAUCCUGGACCGAUAUUGACGCUGAUGCGCGAAAGCGUGGGGAGCGAACAGG
rnacentral:rRNA from 1 species